ACAAGCGGUGGAGUAUGUGGUUUAAUUCGAUGCAACGCGAAAACCUUACCUGCCCUUGACAUCCUCGGAACUUGUCAGAGAUGACUUGGUGCCUUCGGGAACCGAGAGACAGGUGCUGCAUGGCUGUCGUCAGCUCGUGUUGUGAAAUGUUGGGUUAAGUCCCGCAACGAGCGCAACCCUUAUCCUUUGUUGCCAGCGGUCCGGCCGGGAACUCAAAGGAGACUGCCAGUGAUAAACUGGAGGAAGGUGGGAUGACGUCAAGUCAUCAUGGCCCUUACGACCAGGGCUACACACGUGCUACAAUGGCGCAUACAAAGAGAAGCGACCUCGCGAGAGCAAGCGGACCUCAUAAAGUGCGUCGUAGUCCGGAUUGGAGUCUGCAACUCGACUCCAUGAAGUCGGAAUCGCUAGUAAUCGUGGAUCAGAAUGCCACGGUGAAUACGUUCCCGGGCCUU
rnacentral:rRNA from 1 species